rnacentral:rRNA from 1 species
UACGUAGGGUGCGAGCGUUGUCCGGAAUUAUUGGGCGUAAAGGGCUCGUAGGCGGUUUGUCGCGUCGGGAGUGAAAACCUUGGGCUUAACUCAGGGCUUGCUUUCGAUACGGGCAGACUAGAGGUAUGCAGGGGAGAACGGAAUUCCUGGUGUAGCGGUGAAAUGCGCAGAUAUCAGGAGGAACACCAGUGGCGAAGGCGGUUCUCUGGGCAUGAUCUGACGCUGAGGAGCGAAAGUGUGGGGAGCAAACAGG